AAAUAUGGGAUUCAAUGGCGUAUUCGGCUGCAUAAGCUGCAUCUGCAAUGCGACAUUCCAAUGGAUCCGCUUCUUUGCAGUAGUCACGAUGGGGGUUAUAGCCUUGGAGAAAUUCGAGCAGGAAACUGAUUUUUUGAGUGAGAGAUUCAACUUGUUUAGUGUGGAGAGAAACAGGAGGGGUAGGAUGAUGGUGAAGGUUGUUUAUGAUAUUCAUAGCAGAAACAAGAGUUGCAUAAGC
rnacentral:lncRNA from 1 species